rnacentral:rRNA from 1 species
UACGGAGGGAGCAAGCGUUACUCGGAAUUAUUGGGCGUAAAGGGCGCGUAGGCGAUUUGAAAGUCUUGUGUGAAAGCCCGAGCUUAACUCGGGAAGUGCACAAGAAACUGUUGAAUUUGAGUUCCGGAGAGGAAGGCAGAAUUCCCGGUGUAGCGGUGAAAUGCGCAGAUAUCAGGAGGAACACCGGUGGCGAAGGCGGUUCUCUGGGCAUGUCCUGACGGCUGAGGAGCGAAAGUGUCGGGAGCGAACAGG